rnacentral:rRNA from 1 species
GACGAACGCUGGCGGCGUGCUUAACACAUGCAAGUCGAACGGUAAGGCCCCUUCGGGGGUACACGAGUGGCGAACGGGUGAGUAACACGUGAGCAACCUGCCCUUGACUCCGGAAUAACAGCUGGAAACAGCUGCUAAUACCAGAUACGACUCGAUGCGACAUCGCAUCGAGUGGAAAGCCCUGGCGGUCAAGGAUGGGCUCGCGGCCUAUCAGCUUGUUGGUGAGGUAACGGCUCACCAAGGCUUCGACGGGUAGCCGGCCUGAGAGGGCGACCGGCCACACUGGGACUGAGAUACGGCCCAGACUCCUACGGGAGGCAGCAGUGGGGAAUAUUGCACAAUGGGCGAAAGCCUGAUGCAGCAACGCCGCGUGC